AUGUGAUUUGCUUGUAACAUGGUAUACUUGUUUUGAAUUUUAUUAGACCAGGCACAUGGAUUUCCAACAAUUUCCUGUGAUUCUCUUAAGAUUUAAAUUGUUUUCUUCAAAGUGUAACAUCUAAAACCACUCAAUAUAUUGUGAUUUUUGUUUCUUUGAUUUUGUCAUCUUCUGCAAAACAUCAUCUAUUAAACUGUCAGUUUGAAUAUUUUUCAGAAACACUUCCCAUUUUAGACAGCAUCACAAUGAGACAUCAAAUUUUCAAGGUCACAGCUUCUGUCUAAAUUUUUCUAAUAUUUGAAACCUUUUUCAUGGUUACAAAAAUUUGAUUCUGUUGUAUUAUUGUGGGGAAACAUGCACAAAAAAUAAAGACACUUGUGAAUAAAUG
rnacentral:lncRNA from 1 species